rnacentral:rRNA from 1 species
UACAGAGGUCUCAAGCGUUGUUCGGAUUCAUUGGGCGUAAAGGGUGCGUAGGUGGCGGGGUAAGUCAGGUGUGAAAUUCGGAGCUUAACUCCGAACUGCAUUUGAUACUGCCUUGCUUGAGGACUUGGAGAGGAGACUGGAAUUCACGGUGUAGCAGUGAAAUGCGUAGAGAUCGUGAGGAAGACCAGUGGCGAAGGCGGGUCUCUGGACA